UGUGUUUCUUUCACUUGAUUAACUAUUAAUGGACUGACAUAUUGUUUUGGUUAAUGUUGGAAUAUGAAUGUGGAAAUACUAUCCAAGAACGUAUUUUACCAUUUCGUUUCUCUGUCUUACAGCCUCCUAAUUGGGUUGUCAUACUGGUCCAUGUCUGUCCAGACAAGUUCAAACAGAAGAUUGACAGUUUCUCCGGAGUUCCGUUUUUUCCUACACAUCCAUUGGUUACAUCGUUCUGUCUGUGGGAGUAUUCAUCGGC